rnacentral:lncRNA from 10 species
AUUCAUUUGUCCAAUAAGUAUUUGUAAAAUAUCAGUUAGUGCUGGAGAUAGGUAAAUGAACCUGACAAAAUUAUGGAAAUUCCCUUUUUUUAGGGAAGUGGGAGAUCAGAAGACCAAUAAGCAAGUAAACAAAAUGUAUAUGCAUAUGCAAUUGCAGAUAGUAGUAAGUUCUUUCUUUUUUCUUUUUUUGAUAGUAAGCUCUAUGAAGAAUAUAAAAGUUAAAAUGGCAGUGAACUGGACGGGGGGAGGUAGACAUUUUAAUUAAAUAGGAUGGUGAGAAUUAACUUCGGGGGUUAACAGUUUAUUGAUAAGGUAAUUCUGCAAGAACUUUCUCAUGGUGAGAGCCUUCUGACUGUAGACCAGAUAUGGAUGAGUUAAUUAUCUGGUUGAAUAUGUAUAAAAACUUAAGGGAGAACUCGCUGGAGAUGUUUUAAAGAGAUUUCUUGGCUGUGGCACAGGUUUGAGACAGAUCAGUAUUCAGACUUUUUUGUGGCUUUGGAAUCCUUUUUCUUUUCUUUUCUUUUCUUUUCUUUUUUUUUGAGAUGGAG